UACGUAGGUGACCAGCGUUGUCCGGAUUUACUGGGCGUAAAGAGCGCGCAGGCGGUCGUUCAAGUCGAGUGUGAAAGCCCCCGGCUCAACUGGGGAGGGUCACUCGAUACUGAUCGACUUGAAGGCAGGAGAGGGAAGCGGAAUUCCCGGUGUAGUGGUGAAAUUCGUAGAUAUUCGGAAGAACACCAGUGGCGAAGGCGACUCACUGGACACAUAUUGACGCUGAGGUGCGAAAGCGUGGGGAGCAAACAGG
rnacentral:rRNA from 1 species